UCGAGCGGAACGAGUUAUCUGAACCUUCGGGGAACGAUAACGGCGUCGAGCGGCGGACGGGUGAGUAAUGCCUAGGAAAUUGCCCUGGUGUGGGGGAUAACCAUUGGAAACGAUGGCUAAUACCGCAUAAUACCUACGGGUCAAAGAGGGGGACCUUCGGGCCUCUCGCGUCAGGAUAUGCCUAGGUGGGAUUAGCUAGUUGGUGAGGUAAUGGCUCACCAAGGCGACGAUCCCUAGCUGGUCUGAGAGGAUGAUCAGCCACACUGGAACUGAGACACGGUCCAGACUCCUACGGGAGGCAGCAGUGGGGAAUAUUGCACAAUGGGCGCAAGCCUGAUGCAGCCAUGCCGCGUGUGUGAAGAAGGCCUUCGGGUUGUAAAGCACUUUCAGUCGUGAGGAAGGUGGUAGUGUUAAUAGCACUGUCAUUUGACGUUAGCGACAGAAGAAGCACCGGCUAACUCCGUGCCAGCAGCCGCGGUAAUACGGAGGGUGCGAGCGUUAAUCGGAAUUACUGGGCGUAAAGCGCAUGCAGGUGGUUUGUUAAGUCAGAUGUGAAAGCCCGGGGCUCAACCUCGGAAUAGCAUUUGAAACUGGCAGACUAGAGUACUGUAGAGGGGGGUAGAAUUUCAGGUGUAGCGGUGAAAUGCGUAGAGAUCUGAAGGAAUA
rnacentral:rRNA from 1 species